rnacentral:rRNA from 1 species
AUACGGAGGGUGCAAGCGUUAUUCGGAAUCACUGGGCGUAAAGGGUGCGUAGGCGGUUUGAUAAGUCUGAUGUGAAAUCCUAUGGCUCAACCAUAGAACUGCAUUGGAAACUGUCAGACUAGAAUACUGAAGGGGCAGAUGGAAUUAGUGGUGUAGGGGUAAAAUCCGUAGAUAUCACUAGGAGUACCGAAAGCGAAAGCGAUCUGCUGGGAAGUUAUUGACGCUGAGGCACGAAAGCGUGGGGAGCAAACGGGAUUAGAAACCCCGGUAGUCC